UAUAAAUAUUCCGAACAUUAUCUCAUAUGUGUCUUAUAUAACAAAUACAUACUUAUUCCAGAUAGGAAAUCAGUAUAACAGAAGAAAAGAGAUUAAGUGGUCGAAGGAUCGAAGGAUAGUCUUUUUGUGAGGUUAUGUAGAAGGAUAGGAAAGAAGAGGACUGUUCAAACGAACUUUGGCGACUAGACUCCGUCAAGACGAUCUGACCAAAAAAAAAGCUGAACUCUUGCGGCUUGCGUUUUACAGUUACACAAUCGCCAGCUAUUUUCAACCUGGCUUCCUUCUCACUAUUGCGUUUCGGCUCAUCCGCAUUCCUCCCUAGACGCGUCAAACUUUUUCCAACGCCUCAGACUAUUGUACGUGAUAUUAUUUCUCUAUCGAAUCACGUCCAAUACCGACCAACAAGCAACUCUAUCCAACUCGAAGCUCC
rnacentral:misc_RNA from 1 species